rnacentral:rRNA from 1 species
GAUGGACGCUGGCGGCGUGCCUAAUACAUGCAAGUCGAGCGAACAGACGAGGAGCUUGCUCCUCUGACGUUAGCGGCGGACGGGUGAGUAACACGUGGAUAACCUACCUAUAAGACUGGGAUAACUUCGGGAAACCGGAGCUAAUACCGGAUAAUAUAUUGAACCGCAUGGUUCAAUAGUGAAAGACGGUUUUGCUGUCACUUAUAGAUGGAUCCGCGCCGCAUUAGCUAGUUGGUAAGGUAACGGCUUACCAAGGCAACGAUGUGUAGCCGACCUGAGAGGGUGAUCGGCCACACUGGAACUGAGACACGGUCCAGACUCCUACGGGAGGCAGCAGUAGGGAAUCUUCCGCAAUGGGCGAAAGCCUGACGGAGCAACGCCGCGUGAGUGAUGAAGGUCUUCGGAUCGUAAAACUCUGUUAUUAGGGAAGAACAAAUGUGUAAGUAACUAUGCACGUCUUGACGGUACCUAAUCAGAAAGCCACGGCUAACUACGUG